GUUGAAUCAUGGGAUGGAGGCAAAAGUGUACUCGAUCAAGAUGCUGAGAGAGAUCGGAAAGUGAGAAAACAAGAUGAUGAUUAUGAUGAGGACUAUGAUAGCGGAAAGAAGAAAAGGAUAAAGUACAGAGAAGAGAAUGAUUUCAAACCUAAAUAUAAUCCAUUCCAGACAGCACAGAAUUUCAAGAAUUACAGUUAUCCUAGUAAAGGUUACCAUGGAUCACAUAGAGAACCAAGACAUCAUCAUUAUAAUAGACAUAAAUACCGGCAUUAAAUAAGCCAGCCUUGAUAAUAUAUGACAUUGUUUUAAUUUAUUUAUGGUGCUAUUUGUGAAUUUUAGAACAUGGUUAUCUCUUUAUUUUCAUUUCCUGGAUUCCAAUAAUUGGCAGCAAUGCACUCUGUGAAUGGUAUAUUCUAGGCUUUAUUUUUCAACUUUAUCCUCGUUCUUAUACCGAUAGUACAUGUAGAUAAAUAUUACUAUCUGUGAAACUAAGUCUCUGAUUUUUUUCUGCCUCAAUUUUUUUUUUAUCAUUCAAAUUCAUUUAUGUGAAUUGGAAGAAGUAAAAACAUAAUUUAGUAGCCUUUGUCAAUCUGUUUUUGUGGAUAUGGAGAAAUGCCACCUGAUAUUAUAUUAUAUAUCAGUGUCAAGUCACUACCUACAUGGAAUCCUCAACUUACCCAGGAACAGCACUGACUUCUCACCCGAUCAAAGAACAGCACUGUAAGACUGAAUUUUCAACUGAUCCUGGAACAGUACCACAAAACUGAAUUCUCGCCUGAUUCAGAAACAGCACCAUAAGACUGACUUCUCACCUGGUCAAGGAACAGCACUGUCUUCUCACCUGAUCAAAUAACAGCACUAUAAGAAUGAAUUUUCAACUGAUCCUGGAACAGCACCACAAAACUGAAUUCUCGCCCGAUUCAGAAAUAGCACCAUAAGACUGACUUCUCACCUGAUCAAGGAACAGCACUGUAAGACUGACGUCUCACCUGAUCAAGGAACAGCACUGUAAGACUGAAUUUUCAACUGAUCCUGGAACAGCACCACAAAACUGAAUUCUCACCUGAUCAAGGAACAGCACUCUCUCACCUGAUCAAGGAACAGCACUGUAAGACUGAAUUUUCACCUGAUUCAGGAACAGCACCAUAAGACUGAAUUCUCACCUGAUUCAGGAACAGCAACAUAAGACUGAAUUUUCACCUGAUUCAGGAACAGCAACAUGAGACUGAAUUCUAACCUGAUUCAGGAACAGCAACAUGAGAAUGAAUUCUCACCUGAUUCAGGAACAGCAACAUGAGAAUGAAUUCUCACCUGAUUCAGGAGCAGCACCAUAAGACUGAAUUCUCACCUGAUUCAGGAACAGCAACAUAAGACUGAAUUUUCACCUGAUUCAGGAACAGCAACAUGAGACUGAAUUCUAACCUGAUUCAGGAACAGCAACAUGAGAAUGAAUUCUCACCUGAUUCAGGAACAGCAACAUGAGAAUGAAUUCUCACCUGAUUCAGGAACAGCAACAUGAGAAUGAAUUCUCACCUGAUUCAGAAACAGCAACAUGAGAAUGAAUUCUCACCUGAUUCAGGAGCAGCACCAUAAGACUGAAUUCUCACCUGAUUCAGAAACAGCACCAUAAGACUGAAUUCUCACCUGAUUCAGAAACGGCAACAUGAGAAUGAAUUCUCACCUGAUUCAAAAACAGUGUCACUAUGAAACAUCAUUGCAUAGUUUCAAACCAUUGACACAACUGUUGACAGUUGAUAUUAUCCGAUGAUGUCACAAUAUAUGCAAAUGUUGUUUGCAGUUAAAUCCUUCUUUGUUUUGUUAUCAAUUUAAAAUGUUAAAUCAUGCAAUACCAAAUUUCCUGCUUUAUUAUAUUUUGUUGUUCGCCUUGUAAUUUCUUCUCUUAACCCAUUUACCACAUAGUUGUAUCUGGUAUACACUAGUAGAUUCACUUAGGUAUGCUCAUCCGACUAUGCAAAUAAUUUGUUGGAAAGCAUAUUUAAUAGUAACAAACUAUGGAUAUUGCACACAUGGAGUAUCAAUAUCGUGACAACUGUAUUCAACUACCUUCUGAAAAAGAAAUAUUCACAGGGUUUCAUUUUAACGAGUUUUAUGUUGUAGGUUUAUUCACUCUGUUUUAAAUUCACCUGUUUGUGGAGGAUGCAAUACUACAUUUGUAUACUCCCGUAGUGCAUUGCAACAUUUGUCAGGUAUUAUUACAGUAUGGUUUAUACCCCCGAAUUAUGAAGAAUAAUUAUGCAUUAGACACAUUUUUUUUUUUUUAAGAUUGGGAUCCCCCUACAAUAUGUUUUUAUCUGGGUUAGAUUCUCAGGGUCCUCAAACCUUUGAGCACCAUAUUUUGCUUAUUUUUAUAUACAUUUUGAAAAAUAAAAUUGUUAUUUUAAACCAAAUAGACAUCAUUUUUUAUUGGCUGCAGGUUUUGAUCAAAUUUUUGAAACAAAUAUGAAAAAAAUGUGGGUUUCAUUUUGUGAAUUGUGAUAAAAGUUGACUCCUGGGCACUCAAAAACUGUAAAAUACUUUAUUUUAGCUGGAAUUAAUUUUCGCGGGAAAAGACAUUUUGGGUGUUUUGUAUGGAAUUUAUUUUCACUAUUUUUUGAUGAGUUGAAUGUAAAAUAUAAGAAAAAAGGUAUAUUCGCUGGAUUUUAUUUCCACUGAAUCAUUCCUUCGGCGAAAAUAAAGUAUUUUACAGUAGAUGAUGUUUUUCUUGGCCCUAGCUAUAUGUACUGGUACAUCAAAUUACAUCAAAAUGCAUACAGAGCCUUACUUGCUAUUGUAUUUUCGGAUUUGUGAUACAUCUAUGACUCGGGAUAAGUUAUUUUUACUCGGACAGCAGUAGCAUUUUUUGUUGUAUUUGUAUACCAUACUUUUUUUCAUUUACAGUAUUUGUGAAAUAAAACUGAUUUUUUUUUU